GAUGAACGCUGGCGGCGUGCCUAAUACAUGCAAGUCGAGCGAACAGACGAGGAGCUUGCUCCCCUGACGUUAGCGGCGGACGGGUGAGUAACACGUGGAUAAGCUACCUCUAAUACUGGGGUGACUACGGGAAACCGCAGCUGAUACCACAGCAUAUAACCAACGGGAUGAAUCAAGAGUGAUAGACGGCUUUCGUGUCACAAAUAGACGGUUCCGGGCCGCAUUAGCUAGUUGGUAAGGUAACGGCUUACCAAGGCAACGAUGCGUAGCUGACCUGAGAGGGUGAUCGGCCACACUGGAACUGAGACACGGUCCAGACUCCUACGGGAGGCAGCAGUAGGGAAUCUUGCGCAAUGGGCGAAAGCCUGACCGAGCCACGCCGCGUGGGUGAUGAAGGUCUUCGGGUCGUAAAGCUCUGUUAUUAGGGAAGAACAACUGUGUAAGUAACUAUGCCCGUCUUGACGGUACCCAAUCAGAAAGCCACGGCUAACUACGUG
rnacentral:rRNA from 1 species